GGCAACGUGGCCGAGUGGUCUAAGGCGCUGGAAUUAGGCACUAGCUUUCUAUCCAGUCCGAAAGGGCGCGAGUUCGAACCUCGCCGUUGUCA